rnacentral:rRNA from 1 species
UGGGGAAUAUUUCACAAUGGGCGCAAGCCUGAUGCAGCAACGCCGCGUGAACGAUGAAGGUCUUCGGAUCGUAAAGUUCCGUUGCAGGGGAAGAUAAUGACGGUACCCUGUGAGGAAGCCCCGGCUAACUACGUGCCAGCAGCCGCGGUAAUACGUAGGGGGCUAGCGUUAUCCGGAUUUACUGGGCGUAAAGGGUGCGUAGGUGGUCUUUCAAGUCGGUGGUUAAAGGCUACGGCUCAACCGUAGUUAGCCUCCGAAACGGGAAGACUUGAGUGCAGGAGAGGAAAGUGGAAUUCCCGGUGUAGCGGUGAAAGGCGUAGAUAUUGGGAGGAACACCAGAAGCGAAGGCGGCUGUCGGGACUGCAACUGACACUAAGGCACGAAAGCGUGGGUAGCAAACAGG